rnacentral:lncRNA from 1 species
CUCUGGACCUUCCUCCUUGCCCUGGGGCAUUUCCUCUCUGAGUUGUUUGUCUAUGGAACUGCAGCUCCCACGAUUGGCGUCCUGGCACCCCUGAUGGUGGCAAGUUUCUCCAUCCUGGGUAUGCUGGUCGGGCUCCGGUAUCUAGAAGUAGAACCAGUAUCCAGACAGAAGAAGAGAAACUGAGGCCAGCAUUAUCACCUCCAGGACUUUCUCGUUUUCCACCUUGGCCAUCUUCUUCCUUCGUCGUCUCUCCUCUUUAAUUUCUUUUCUAUUCCAUCAUCUGCCCUUUUAUUCACUUUUAGCCUCUUUUUUUAAUUUUUAAAAUUUAAAGAUAUGCAUACUGAAAAGUAUAUAACAUGUACGUACAAUUUAAAGAAUAAUUUUAAAGUGAAUACUACGUAACUCCAUCCAAGUCAAGAAAUUGCCAGCUUCUCGGAAGCCCACUGUGUCUCCUUCCCCUACCUGCAACCUCUUCCAGGCUCCCUUUUCCAGCCUUCCCCUUUUUCCCUUUUAUUUUCAUGCCUUGAUUUGACUUGUGUGGUGGGAACAUGUGAACUAUGAAACUUAAACCUGCUGCCCACCCAGAGCAGCUGUGACCAAGGGCUGCCUCAAGGGGUUGUCCACGCAGGUUGGGCUCCUCUCUGCUGCUGGACCCAAGACUCUGAACCUUCCAAGGGACAGGCAGUUCUUCUAAGAAGGGCUCCCCUGUGUGUGAGCAAGACCACAGCUCUCCUUCUAUCUACAGAUGCAUGAGGGUUGGAAGAGUCUGGGCUGUUUUUAGACCUUCUGGUCAGCUGUAUUUGUGUAACAACUUUUGUAAUAAAUAGAAAAACCCUCUGC